rfam:Ornithorhynchus anatinus chromosome 5, whole genome shotgun sequence.
AGCAGCGUGGCUCAGUGGAAAGAGCCCCGGGCUUGGGAGUCAGAGGUCAUGAGUUCAAAUCCCAGCUCUGCCA